rnacentral:rRNA from 1 species
GAUGAACGCUGGCGGCGUGCCUAAUACGUGCAAGUCGAGCGAAAAGAUGAGGAGCUUGUUCCUCUGUCGUUUGGGGCGGACGGGUGUGAAACAUGUGUAUAAUCCACUUAACAGUGUGGGAACAUCAGGGGAAAGGGGAGCAAAUCCCGGAUAAUAUACUGCACCAUAGGGUUCAAUAGUGAAUGACGGCUUUGGUGUCACUACUCGAUGCAUCUGCGCCGCAUUAGCUAGUUGGUACGGUAACGGCCUAUCACGGCGAGGAUGCGUGGGCGACGUGGGAGAGUGAUCGGCCACACUGGAACUGAGACGCGGUCCAGGCUACUGCGGGAGGCAGCAGUAGGGAAUCUGCCGCAGUGGGCGAAAGCCUGACGGAGCAGCGCCGCGUGUGUGAUGGAAGUCUUCGGAUCGGAAAACUCGGUUAUUAGGGAAGAACAAAUUUGGAAGGAGCUAAGCACGGCUUGACGGUACUUAAUCAGGAAGCCACGGCUAACUACGUG